rnacentral:rRNA from 1 species
ACGCUGGCGGCAGGCCUAACACAUGCAAGUCGAACGCUCCAGCAAUGGAGAGUGGCAGACGGGUGAGUAACACGUGGGAACCUUCCCUUUGGUUCGGAAUAGCUCAGGGAAACUUGAGGUAAUACCGGAUAAGCCCUUACGGGGAAAGAUUUAUCGCCGAAGGAUGGGCCCGCGUCGGAUUAGCUAGUUGGGGGGGUAACGGCCUACCAAGGCGACGAUCCGUAGCUGGUCUGAGAGGAUGAUCAGCCACACUGGGGCUGAGACACGGCCCAGACUCCUACGGGAGGCAGCAGUGGGGAAUAUUGGACAAUGGGCGCAAGCCUGAUCCAGCCAUGCCGCGUGAGUGACGAAGGCCUUAGGGUUGUAAAGCUCUUUUGGCGGGGAAGAUAAUGACGGUACCCGCAGAAUAAGCUCCGGCUAACUUCGUGCCAGCAGCCGCGGUAAUACGAAGGGAGCUAGCGUUGUUCGGAAUCACUGGGCGUAAAGCGCACGUAGGCGGAUGUGUCAGUCAGGGGUGAAAUCCCGGAGCUCAACUUCGGAACUGCCUUUGAUACAGCACGUCUUGAGUCCGAUAGAGGUGGGUGGAAUUCCUAGUGUAGAGGUGAAAU